GCGUGGUAAGGCAGAACGGAGCGGCAUCUCAGCUCUCGCCUUUUCAGGGUUCCGCCCCAUAUCCGAGAGCCGCUCUCUAAUUGGCUUGGGAAACCGUAUCUCAGCGCUUUGGCCUAGCGACUUUGAACGUGUUUGCGCCUGAGACCGAAGUGCAGAAGAGGGCGAGCGCAGGAGGAGAGGCUUGGUGAAUCAGCGAUUCCUGAUUGGCCAGGCGUGCCUUGAGGGCGGGGCCAGAACUGCGUCCUUAACUGACCUCGCCCUUGCCCAGAUCACCGCCUCCGCGUUGCUCCGGGUUUACCCCGCCUGACUCGCUGCGCUAUGCGUUCCCUCACGCCUGCCGGAUGCCAGGCGGCGAUGUGCCAGGCUCUGAGGGGCCGCGAGCUCACCCCAGACGCCGGCCCCGGGAAUCCUCUGCUCCUCCACUUUCCCUUCCCGCUACUGGUUUCUUGCCCACCCACUCCCAGGUGUCACUCUUGGGACAUCCAGAUGUUCUGACAUUUGACCUGACUCCAGCCUCAGCGCGAGGACGGGAGAAGGGCCAAGGAACCCAAAUCCUCAGAGCUGAUCGAGAAGCGCGUGUUGUUGCAGAAGUCACUGAGGGGCAGACCUGGAAUGUGAGCCGUGGGGCGAAGGGACAGCUCUGGAGACUCGUGAUUCCGGAACCCGGAUGAUCCAGAACAGACGGUGAAGAGACAAAACAGCGUGAAAGGGAGCGGCGAUACCUAAACUGACCUCCGGAGGGCAGCAUGAUCAAGGGAAGGAGCUGUUCUCGCUCCGCUCAAACCCCCGCGCAGCCUCUGCAGCUUACUCCUGCUUCGGAAGGCGGCGAGGUUCCACCCCCACCACCCCGGUCCCCGCCGCCCUCUUCGCGCUGAAGCUGCGGAGGGUCUUUUUCUUCAGCCCCCAAAUCCUCUGCUCUGUGGCUUAAGAUUCCCAGGCUUAAACCCAUAACUGCUAGGGUCAUCACUCCUCAAACUUCUCCCUCACUUGUUUUGCUGAUGACGGACACAGGGGCCUCACAGACUCAGAAGCAUCUGGAGUCAUUUCGAAGGACAGAACUGUGGCAAUAUCCUCUUUCCCCCUCCUAAUCUCUGAGAACAGUGUCUGUAUAUGGCACGGGGGUCCCUAGUGUCAUAUAGAAGGACUCGGAGAUGUCCUCAUGGGCUGUAACGGCCCCCGGUGCUAUUCAGGGAUCUCUGUUCUUUAAAGAAAUAUCAUUUCCCCUUAUUUCUCUACCUUUGUGCCCUCACCUCGCCCUGAAUUGUUUCUUAAACUGGGCUUUC
rnacentral:lncRNA from 1 species